GCUUGCUUCAGCAACACAUAUACUAAAAUUGGAACAAUAAAGAGAAGAUGAGUAAGGCCCCUGUGCAAGGAUGACAUGCCAAUUUGUGAAGCAUUCCAUAAAAAA
rfam:Alligator mississippiensis ScZkoYb_22, whole genome shotgun sequence.